UAUGUACAUAAGUGGGACAUUUUGUGUUCGUUUUAGUAAAGCUGAUGACAUCGAAUUAAAUUAUUUCAAUUGCAGUGAUUGCUAACAGUUACAAAUAAUUAAAUUUAAUAUGUCAACUUGUAUUCAUUUGAGCGAUUUAGAGCAAGCAAGAAUAUUGGCACUCCGAGAAAUGGGGAUGCCAAUACGCAAAAUUGCUAAAGAAUGUCAGAGGAGUAAGCGGACGGUGGAAAACCUUUUAAAGGACCCAGAAAAUCAUGGUAGAAAACCUCGUUCUGGGCGUCUCACAGUGGGCCCAAUGAGACAUUUGGCGGAAUAAAAGUCCAAAAAAAUUGUUCAAUA